GACAGCUGACUUAAAUCUUCUGCAGGGCCAGACGCUCCUGAGUAAAAAAAUGAGGGGCUUCUCGAGAGGAAAUGAAAGGAGACAGAUGUGGUUUUUGCUGAAGGUUUUCUGAUGUGAGGAUUCAUUUUGAAAUAGAAAGAUGGGCCUGGAAGUGUGAUGUCAGCUCAGGCAUUUGGAGCCCCUGCUGGAGAGCACACGGAGCAUUAGCAGAGAUGUCGACUGGUUUCUUCAUUGCUGAGUUGGUUGUCCCCAUGAGAAGAGGACAGGACACAGACACACGCAGAGGGACCACCAUGUGCAGAGGCAGCAGGCAGUGCCAUGUGGAUGCUAGGCAGCAAGGCCUUGGAGGAUAGAAACUGUAAUAGAAUCUUGAUCUUGGACUUCCAGCUUUCAGACCUGUAAGAAAAUAAAGGUUAAGCCACUGUGGUUAAGUCA